UACGUAGGGUGCAAGCGUUAAUCGGAAUUACUGGGCGUAAAGCGUGCGCAGGCGGUUCUAUAAGACAGGUGUGAAAUCCCCGGGCUCAACCUGGGAACUGCAUUUGUGACUGUAGAGCUGGAGUGCGGCAGAGGGGGAUGGAAUUCCGCGUGUAGCAGUGAAAUGCGUAGAUAUGCGGAGGAACACCGAUGGCGAAGGCAAUCCCCUGGGCCUGCACUGACGCUCAUGCACGAAAGCGUGGGGAGCGAACCGG
rnacentral:rRNA from 1 species